rnacentral:rRNA from 1 species
AAACUAAAGAGUUUGAUCCUGGCUCAGAUUGAACGCUGGCGGCAUGCCUUACACAUGCAAGUCGAACGGUAGAGUAGCAAUACUCGAGAGUGGCGAACGGGUGAGUAAUAUAUCGGAACGUGCCCAGUCGUGGGGGAUAACGUAGAGAAAUUUACGCUAAUACCGCAUACGAUCUAAGGAUGAAAGCGGGGGAUUCGCAAGAACCUCGCGCGAUUGGAGCGGCUGAUAUCAGAUUAGGUUGUUGGUGAGGUAAAAGCUCACCAAGCCGACGAUCUGUAGCUGGUUUGAGAGAACGACCAGCCACACUGGGACUGAGACACGGCCCAGACUCCUACGGGAGGCA